rnacentral:rRNA from 1 species
GUACACUCCUACGGGAGGCAGCAGUGGGGAAUUUUGGACAAUGGGCGAAAGCCUGAUCCAGCAAUGCCGCGUGUGUGAAGAAGGCCUUCGGGUUGUAAAGCACUUUUGUCCGGAAAGAAAUCCUUGGCUCUAAUACAGUCGGGGGAUGACGGUACCGGAAGAAUAAGCACCGGCUAACUACGUGCCAGCAGCCGCGGUAAUACGUAGGGUGCGAGCGUUAAUCGGAAUUACUGGGCGUAAAGCGUGCGCAGGCGGUUUGCUAAGACCGAUGUGAAAUCCCCGGGCUCAACCUGGGAACUGCAUUGGUGACUGGCAGGCUAGAGUAUGGCAGAGGGGGGUAGAAUUCCACGUGUAGCAGUGAAAUGCGUAGAGAUGUGGAGGAAUACCGAUGGCGAAGGCAGCCCCCUGGGCCAAUACUGACGCUCAUGCACGAAAGCGUGGGGAGCAAACAGGAUUAGAAACCCCGGUAGUCCCAUGA